rnacentral:rRNA from 1 species
UACCUUACUACAUGGAUACCUGUGGUAAUUCUAGAGCUAAUACAUGCUACAAACCCCGACUUCAGAAGGGGUGUAUUUAUUAGAUAAAAAACCAACGCCCUUCGGGGCUCCUUGGUGAAUCAUAAUAACUUAACGAAUCGCAUGCCUUGCGCCGGCGAUGGUUCAUUCAAAUUUCUGCCCUAUCAACUUUCGAUGGUAGGAUAGUGGCCUACCAUGGUGGCAAGGGUAACGGGGAAUUAGGGUUCGAUUCCGGAGAGGGAGCCUGAGAAACGGCUACCACAUCCAAGGAAGGCAGCAGGCGCCAAAUUACCCAAUCCCGAUACGGGGAGGUAGUGACAAUAAAUACUGAUACGGGGCUCUUUCGGGUCUCGUAAUUGGAAUAGAACAAUUUAAAUCCCUUAACGAGGAACAAUUGGAGGGCAAGUCUGGUGCCAGCAGCCGCGGUAAUUCCAGCUCCAAUGCGUAUAUUAAAGUUGUUGCAGUUAAAAAGCUCGUAGUUGAACCUUGGGCCUGGCUGGCCGGUCCGCCUCACCGCGAGUCUGGUCCGGCUGGGCCUUUCCUUCUGGGGAACCUCAUGGCCUUCACUGGCUGUGGGGGGAACCAGGACUUUUACUGUGAAAAAUUAGAGUGUUCAAAGCAGGCCUUUGCUCGAAUACAUUAGCAUGGAAUAAUAGAAUAGGACGUGCGGUUCUAUUUUUUGGUUUCUAGGACCGCCGUAAUGAUUAAUAGGGAUAGUCGGGGGCGUCAGUAUUCAGCUGUCAGAGGUGAAAUUCUUGAUUUGCUGAAGACUAACUACUGCGAAAGCAUUCGCCAAGGAUGUUUUCAUUAAUCAGGGAACGAAAGUUAGGGGAUCGAGACGAUCAGAUACCGUCGUAGUCUUAACCAUAAACUAUGCCGACUAGGGAUCGGACGGGAUUCUAUGAUGACCCGUUCGCACCUUACGAGAAAUCAAAGUUUUUGGGUUCUGGGGGGAGUAUGGUCGCAAGGCUGAAACUUAAAGAAAUUGACGGAAGGCACCACAAGGCGUGGAGCCUGCGGCUUAAUUUGACUCAACACGGGGAAACUCACC